rnacentral:rRNA from 1 species
GGCGACGAUGCGUAGGGGUUCUGAGAGGAAGGUCCCCCACACUGGUACUGAGACACGGACCAGACUCCUACGGGAGGCAGCAGUGAGGAAUAUUGGUCAAUGGGAGAGAUCCUGAACCAGCCAAGCCGCGUGAGGGAAGACGGCCCUAUGGGUUGUAAACCUCUUUUGUCGGAGAACAAAACCCGGGACGAGUCCCGGACUGCGUGUAUCCGAAGAAAAAGCAUCGGCUAACUCCGUGCCAGCAGCCGCGGUAAUACGGAGGAUGCGAGCGUUAUCCGGAUUUAUUGGGUUUAAAGGGUGCGUAGGCGGUCCGUUAAGUCAGCGGUAAAAUUGCGGGGCUCAACCCCGUCGAGCCGUUGAAACUGGCAGACUUGAGUUGGCGAGAAGUACGCGGAAUGCGCGGUGUAGCGGUGAAAUGCAUAGAUAUCGCGCAGAACUCCGAUUGCGAAGGCAGCGUACCGGCGCCACACUGACGCUGAGGCACGAAAGCGUGGGGAUCGAACAGGAUUAGAUACCCUGGUAGUCCACGCAGU